rnacentral:rRNA from 1 species
GUCUACAGCCAUGCUACCCUGAACAAGCCUGAUCCUGUCUGAUCUCGGAAGCUAAGCAGGGUUGGGCCUGGUUAGUACUUGGAUAGGAGACCACCUAGGAAGACUAGGUGCUGUAGGCA